UCAAUCCACCCUUGGCCAGUGGCAUGAAUC
rnacentral:piRNA from 1 species